UGGCCAGACUCCUACGGGAGGCAGCAGUGGGGAAUAUUGGGCAAUGGGCGCAAGCCUGACCCAGCAAUGCCGCGUGAAGGAAGAAGGCCUUCGGGUUGUAAACUUCUUUUAUCAGGGACGAAGGAUGUGACGGUACCUGAUGAAUAAGCUCCGGCUAACUACGUGCCAGCAGCCGCGGUAAUACGUAGGGAGCAAGCGUUAUCCGGAUUUACUGGGUGUAAAGGGCGCGUAGGCGGGAUGGCAAGUCAGAUGUGAAAUCCAAGGGCUCAACCCUUGAACUGCAUUUGAAACUGUAGUUCUUGAGUGUUGGAGAGGCAGGAGGAAUUCCGUGUGUAGCGGUGAAAUGCGUAGAUAUACGGGGGAACACCAGUGGCGAAGGCGGCCUGCUGGACAAUAACUGACGCUGAGGCGCGAAA
rnacentral:rRNA from 1 species